rfam:Cucumis sativus cultivar 9930 chromosome 6, whole genome shotgun sequence.
GUCCCUUUAGGGGCAUCCGAUAAAAUUGGAACAUUACAUAGAAGAUUAGCAUGGCCCUGCUCAAGGAUGGCUCAUACAAAUCAGGAAAUAAUGUUAUUUUU